rnacentral:sRNA from 1 species
GCCAGGCAUGGUGGUGCAUACCUGUAAUCCCAGCAACUCAGGAGGCUGAGGCAGGAGGAUCCCAAGUUCAAGGCCAGCCUCAGCAACUUAGCAAGACCUAGUCUCAA